rnacentral:rRNA from 1 species
CCUACGGGUGGCAGCAGUGAGGAAUAUUGGUCAAUGGACGAGAGUCUGAACCAGCCAAGUAGCGUGAAGGAUGACUGCCCUAUGGGUUGUAAACUUCUUUUAUAUGGGAAUAAAACGUUCCACGUGUGGGAUUUUGUAUGUACCAUAUGAAUAAGGAUCGGCUAACUCCGUUCCAGCAGCCGCGGUAAUACGGAGGAUCCGAGCGUUAUCCGGAUUUAUUGGGUUUAAAGGGAGCGUAGGUGGAUUGUUAAGUCAGUUGUGAAAGUUUGCGGCUCAACCGUAAAAUUGCAGUUGAAACUGGCAGUCUUGAGUACAGUAGAGGUGGGCGGAAUUCGUGGUGUAGCGGUGAAAUGCUUAGAUAUCACGAAGAACUCCGAUUGCGAAGGCAGUUCACUGGACUGCAACUGACACUGAGGCUCGAAAGUGUGGGUAUCAAACAGGAUUAGAUACCCGAGUAUC